rnacentral:rRNA from 1 species
GCGUAAGAAAUACUUAAUAGACCUGGAUAAAUACAGGAUAUAUUGAAACAUUUAUUGCUAUUAAAUUUGCUUGCGUAAGAUUAGGUAGUUGGUAGGGUAAGGGCCUACCAAGCCGUCGAUCUUUAGCUGGUCUUAACGGACGGUCAGCCACAUUGGGACUGAGAUACGGCCCAAACCCAUUUUGGGGCAGCAGUGAGGAAUAUUGGACAAUGAGCGAAAGCUUGAUCCAUCAAUAUCCUGUGGGAGGAUUUGGAAGGUCAUAAGAUUGUAAACUCCUUUCAUUAAUGAUGAUAAUGACAU